rnacentral:tRNA from 2 species
GCCGAAGUGGCGGAAUUGGUAGACGCGCUAGGUUCAGGGUCUAGUAGGCGUGCGCCUGUGCUGGUUCAAAUCCAGUCUUCGGCACCA